rnacentral:rRNA from 1 species
GACGAACGCUGGCGGCGUGCCUAACACAUGCAAGUCGAGCGAGCGGCGGACGGGUGAGUAACACGUAAGGAACCUACCGAUAAGCGGGGGACAACAUCCGGAAACGGGUGCUAAAACCGCAUACUUAUCGAUGGCCUUGCGGUGCAUUAGCUCGUGGGUGGGGUAACGGCCUACCAAGGCAAUGAUGCAUAGCCGACCUGAGAGGUUAAUCGGCCACAUUGGGACUGAGACACGGCCCAGACUCCUACGGGAGGCAGCAGUGGGGAAUAUUCCGCAAUGGGCGCAAGCCUGACGGAGCAACGCCGCGUGAGUGAAGAAGGUUUUCGGAUCGUAAAGCUCUUUUGUAAGAGAAGCGGUAUCUGACCAGGAAGCCACGGCUAACUACGUGCCAGCAGCCGCGGUAAUAC